GGCAGAAAGAGAAAAUAUUUUUUUCGGACGAAAUAUGGAAGAGCGAUUGGUGACAAAAAAUGGCACAUGGAAAUUUUUUCUGACGAAUGGCGGCGCCGACGUCACAGAUGUCAGAGAGCUCAUUCAAUGUCUGCCAGAAGAACGGGGAUUGCUAGCAAAUGAGGAUACCAAGAGAGGAAUGGGGGACGCUGGAUGAUGACGAAAUUCCAAACCUGUGUCCCAGGUAUUGGUUACAUUGGUUAAUGGAAGAGGAGCAGGGGAAAUUUCAUUCCAAGCUUUGAAUUCGUCGAAUCUCUCAACUGAAUGUCGCAGGCCGGCGCCUCAGUUUGUGAUGAACAUUCAAACAGUGCUAGUGCUCAUGAUAUCAAUUUUGAUCCCCUGUAUGCGUGCCGAAUGGUGGAGACCUAUAACUUGGUCUAGACCAGGUUGGUUUCGAAGGAAGGCAACUAUAAGCAAAAAACUGUCGGUCGAAGAUUCGAGGAAACUAGCGAUUGAUGUCGGAGCGGACGAUUGGUGCAUGGAUGAGAAAAGGAAGCGCUCCGAUGCUCGGACCAGAUGCGAGAGAGGGCACCAAGCUCUGCUGAAGUUGAAGCACGAGAGCGACUGCCAUUGCGGCUCCAGUCCCAAAUGUCGCUACGUGCCCCAGAAUCAUCGCCGCGAGUGCACAGUGCUGUCUGCUCCCAGCGACACUGUCACCUGCCCACGUCUAUAUCGGAGCAGAAGCAAACGGAAUUUGAUCAUAUUUAGAGAGUGCAUUGACAGCGUCAUCGCCACACUGCCGCCAUCCCUCGAGGCGGCCGAGUUGGAGCAUUUUGAACGAAAUGGCUGGUGGUCUGUCAAACGGCUAAAUUCGCUUCCGCACACUUUUCAUCACUUACACUCGCUUUCGAGCAGAUUUCCACCCAGCAAGAUCACUGAAAUUGACCGCGAAGCAUUGACCGAAAAAAUCAAAGAGAAUGUGGGGAAAUUGAUAAUGAUAGUGCUCUAUGCAAAACUAUGCGAUAGAUGGAUUAGAAUCAGUGACGAGGUCGAGAAACUAGCUCGUGCUUACCAAAACUCCGUUGUCUUCCUCAAACAUGACAUGGAUAAGAAACUAGAGGGAGUGGAGCUAUACGAUGAUUCGCCAUUACCAAGUUUCAUGUUUAUGCGUGGUAAUAAGAACGGCAAAUUGAUAUUGCAGGAGGCUCCGUACUUCACAACAGACGUCAAGAAACUUUGGUUGAAAUUACUUACGUACGGAGUCAAACCAGACAACGGUCAGUUGUCUCUUCAAGGAUCAAACUCUAGGCAACCGUCUCCUCAAAAAUCAAUUUCUAGGCAACCGUCUCCGCAAAAAUCUUUUUCUUCGUCGUAUGUACCUGUACAUUACAUAGACGGCAAGUGA
rnacentral:lncRNA from 1 species